UACAGAGACUGCAAGCGUUAUUCGGAUUCACUGGGCGUAAAGGGUGCGCAGGCGGCCAAGUGUGUCAGGUGUGAAAUCCCGAGCUUAACCUCGGAACUGCGCCUGAAACUACUUGGCUAGAGUACUGGAGAGGGUAACGGAAUUCACGGUGUAGCAGUGAAAUGCGUAGAUAUCGUGAGGAACACCAGAGGCGAAGGCGGUUACCUGGACAGUUACUGACGCUCAGGCACGAAAGCGUGGGGAGCAAACGGG
rnacentral:rRNA from 1 species